rnacentral:rRNA from 1 species
AGAUCUCAGUUCGGACUGUAGGCUGCAACUCGCCUACACGAAGUUGGAAUUGCUAGUAGUCGUGGAUCAGCAUGCCACGGUGAAUACGUUCCCGGGUCUUGUACACACCGCCCGUCACACCAUGGGAGCUGGUAACACCCGAAGUCAGUAGUCUAACCGCAAGGAGGACGCUGCCGAAGGUGGGAUUAGCGACUGGGGUGAAGUCGUAACAAGGUACC